rnacentral:rRNA from 1 species
GGCGGCGUGCUUAACACAUGCAAGUCGAACGGAAAGGUCUCUUCGGAGACACUCGAGUGGCGAACGGGUGAGUAACACGUGGGCAAUCUGCCCUGCACACCGGGAUAAGCCUGGGAAACUGGGUCUAAUACCGGAUAGGACCACUUGGCGCAUGCCUUGUGGUGGAAAGCUUUUGCGGUGUGGGAUGGGCCCGCGGCCUAUCAGCUUGUUGGUGGGGUGACGGCCUACCAAGGCGACGACGGGUAGCCGGCCUGAGAGGGUGUCCGGCCACACUGGGACUGAGAUACGGCCCAGACUCCUACGGGAGGCAGCAGUGGGGAAUAUUGCACAAUGGGCGCAAGCCUGAUGCAGCGACGCCGCGUGGGGGAUGACGGCCUUCGGGUUGUAAACCUCUUUCACCAUCGACGAAGGUCCGGGUUCUCUCGGAUUGACGGUAGGUGGAGAAGAAGCACCGGCCAACUACGUGCCAGCAGCCGCGGUAAUACGUAGGGUGCGAGCGUUGUCCGGAAUUACUGGGCGUAAAGAGCUCGUAGGUGGUUUGUCGCGUUGUUCGUGAAAUCUCACGGCUUAACUGUGAGCGUGCGGGCGAUACGGGCAGACUAGAGUACUGCAGGGGAGACUGGAAUUCCUGGUGUAGCGGUGGAAUGCGCAGAUAUCAGGAGGAACACCGGUGGCGAAGGCGGGUCUCUGGGCAGUAACUGACGCUGAGGAGCGAAAGCGUGGGGAGCGAACAGGAUUAGAUACCCUGGUAGUCCACGCCGUAAACGGUGGGUACUAGGUGUGGGUUUCCUUCCUUGGGAUCCGUGCCGUAGCUAACGCAUUAAGUACCCCGCCUGGGGAGUACGGCCGCAAGGCUAAAACUCAAAGGAAUUGACGGGGGCCCGCACAAGCGGCGGAGCAUGUGGAUUAAUUCGAUGCAACGCGAAGAACCUUACCUGGGUUUGACAUGCACAGGACGCGUCUAGAGAUAGGCGUUCCCUUGUGGCCUGUGUGCAGGUGGUGCAUGGCUGUCGUCAGCUCGUGUCGUGAGAUGUUGGGUUAAGUCCCGCAACGAGCGCAACCCUUGUCUCAUGUUGCCAGCGGGUAAUGCCGGGGACUCGUGAGAGACUGCCGGGGUCAACUCGGAGGAAGGUGGGGAUGACGUCAAGUCAUCAUGCCCCUUAUGUCCAGGGCUUCACACAUGCUACAAUGGCCGGUACAAAGGGCUGCGAUGCCGCGAGGUUAAGCGAAUCCUUUUAAAGCCGGUCUCAGUUCGGAUCGGGGUCUGCAACUCGACCCCGUGAAGUCGGAGUCGCUAGUAAUCGCAGAUCAGCAACGCUGCGGUGAAUACGUUCCCGGGCCUUGUACACACCGCCCGUCACGUCAUGAAAGUCGGUAACACCCGAAGCCAGUGGCCUAACCCUCGGGAGGGAGCUGUCGAAGGUGGGAUCGGCGAUUGGGACGAAGUCGUAAC